GCAAGUCGAGCGAGAAAGGCCUUCGGGCUGAGUAAAGCGGCGGACGGGUGAGUAACGCGUAGGAAUCUGCCUGGUAGUGGGGGACAACAUGUGGAAACGCAUGCUAAUACCGCAUACGCCCUACGUGGGAAAGCGGAGGAACUUCGGGCCUCGCGCUACCAGAUGAGCCUGCGUUAGGUUAGCUUGUUGGUGAGGUAAAAGCUCACCAAGGCGACGAUCUAUAGCUGGUCUGAGAGGAUGAUC
rnacentral:rRNA from 1 species